rnacentral:rRNA from 1 species
CACGUAGGGUGCGAGCGUUGUCCGGAAUUAUUGGGCGUAAAGAGCUCGUAGGCGGUGUGUCGCGUCGGCCGUGAAAACCUGCAGCUUAACUGUGGGCUUGCGGUCGAUACGGGCAUCACUGGAGUUCGGCAGGGGAGACUGGAAUUCCUGGUGUAGCGGUGAAAUGCGCAGAUAUCAGGAGGAACACCGGUGGCGAAGGCGGGUCUCUGGGCCGUAACUGACG